GAUGAACGCUGGCGGUAUGCUUAACACAUGCAAGUCGAACGGACUCUUCGGAGUUAGUGGCGGACGGGUGAGUAACGCGUGAGAAUCUGGCUUUGGGUUCGGGACAACCACUGGAAACGGUGGCUAAUACCGGAUGUGCCGAGAGGUAAAAGAGAAAUUGCCUGAAGAUGAGCUCGCGUCUGAUUAGCUAGGUGGUGAGGUAAAGGCUCACCAAGGCAGCGAUCAGUAGCGGGUCUGAGAGGAUGACCAGCCACAGGGGGACUGAGACACGGCCCAGACUCCUACGGGAGGCAGGAGUGGGAAAUUGUCCGAAAGGGGCGAAAGCCUGACGGAACAGUAGCGCGUGGGGGAAGAAGGCUCUUGGGGUGUAAACCUCUUUCCUUAGGGAAGAACAGAAUGACGGUACCUAAGGAAUCAGCAUCGGCUAACUCCGUG
rnacentral:rRNA from 1 species